rnacentral:tRNA from 1 species
GUUAAUCUCCCUCUUUUACUA